rnacentral:rRNA from 1 species
UACCAGCACCCCGAGUGGUCGGGACGAUUAUUGGGCCUAAAGCAUCCGUAGCCGGUUCUACAAGUCUUCCGUUAAAUCCACCUGCUUAACAGAUGGGCUGCGGAGGAUACUAUGGAGCUAGGAGGCGGGAGAGGCAAGCGGUACUUAGUGGGUAGGGGUAAAAUCCGUUGAUCCACUGAAGACCACCAGUGGCGAAGGCGGCUUGCCAGAACGCACUCGACGGUGAGGGAUGAAAGCUGGGGGAGCAAACCGG